rnacentral:tRNA from 1 species
UGGAUCACCUCCUAACAGGGAGACAACAAAAUGUUUUGAUAUAAAUUUUGUCACCUUAGGUCGAUCGGUAUCUCAGAUUUUCAUAGUUGAAAAUUUCAGUUCCUAAGUUUUUUCUAGGUCACCCAUUUUUCCUGGGCCAUUAGCUCAGGUGGUUAGAGCGCACCCCUGAUAAGGGUGAGGUCCCUGGUUCAAGUCCAGGAUGGCCCAUAUCUCUAUUAUUGGGGGUAUAGCUCAGUUGGUAGAGCGCCUGCUUUGCAAGCAGGAUGUCAGCGGUUCGAGUCCGCUUACCUCCACUGAAUACCACCUUUCCAAAGAGAAGGAAUAUUUGGGAUUGAUUUUAUUCUGAAUGAAUCUAGCUUCCUAUUAUUUAAAUUAAUUAAUAAGAUGCUGGACUCAAUGAAUUUUUAAAUUCUUUGUUUUCAGAGAACCUUGACAACUGCAUAGAUUUUUUCAAAACAAUAAGCAUCUUUUAAGAUGCAGAUUUAUUAUUGGUGCUUAUGCAUUAAUAACAAUUCUAUUGAGCUGAUGCUUCAAUUUUUUGAAGUUAUUGGUCAAGCUACAAAGGGCUCACGGAGGAUACCUAGGCACACAGAGGCGAUGAAGG